ensembl:lncRNA
CAGACUGCUCCAGUUGUCUCAGGUUUGAAGGGUUCCUUCUCCAGACGGCAUGUUUCAGCUCCUUCCACAGAUGUUCAAUAGGAUUUAGAUCAGGGCUCAUAGAAGACCACUUCAGAAUAGUCCAAUGUUUUCCUCUUAGCCAUUCUUGGCUGUUUUUAGCUGUAUGUUUUGGGUCAUUAUUCUGUUGCAAGACCCAUGACCUGCGACUGAGACCAAGCUUUCUGACACUGGGCAGCACAUUUCUCUCUAGAAUACCUUGAUAUUCAUGACAUUUCAUUGUACCUGCACAGAUUCAAGACACCCUGUGCCAGAUGCAGCAAAGCAGCCCCAGAACAUAACAGAACCUCCUCCAUGUUUCACAAGUGGCCUGCUGUCCAUGAGAACCUGAAACCUUUGGGGAUUGGCAGUGUAAUCAAAUGAGGCUUCAGUGUGAAGCAGGAAAUGUGCUCACAGUGGUUUAUCAUUGUCACUUACCAGUGUCAAAUCGUGUUAUUGCAUUGGAGUUUAUUAAAUACAGACACGGGUGCCUUAGCUGAAUGUCGAACAUUUUAGAUGAUUGUUUUGGUCUUUUAGGUGAUAAACCUGGAAACAUGGAAAAGUAUCACUCUAAACUAAGUGGAAUUUGUUUACCCAAACCACAGAUUAUGGAUAUGAGGUGCUCAGGUGAUUUAGUAUUUCACUUUUAUAAAGCUCAGGGUUGCAAAAAAAGAGUGGUGAAAAUCAAGCUCCAAAAACACUUCAUCCCCUAAUAUGUAACAUAAUGCAACUCGAAAGCAUCUCCACAACUCUAGGCUGUUAUGCAGACUUAUAUAAAUUUGUAGCCUCCGAACCCAAACAGAGUUUCUGCAACUGUUUCCACAAGAUGCACAGUAAAUAAGACACUGUGCAUUUCCAGUUUGAUUUAAAUGCAUCAUUAGUGUUUGGUAAAAUGCAAGUCGGGAUGUCUUCAGAGAUAUGGCAAAAGGACUCUUUUUUCAGUCUUAACUUCACAAUACAAAAUAUUACAUGACUACAGCAGCUUAUAUGACAUGUAAAUACUCCAUUUAAUUACUGAAAAAGUUUAUGUACUGCAUUGUUAAUUCCCUGCUUUUAUGAUAAAUUUCAGAUGCAUUUUGAAGACGUUUUUACGAAAUUGUAUGAAAUGUUAUUCUGUACACAGUUUGUUUAUUUCUAUUGUGUAUAUGAACACCUGUUGGUUCUGUGGGGCUGAGGUGCCUUGUCUUGUUUUGGGAGUUUUCAAAAUGCCAUAAAGGCUGUGUUUGCAGGACUACAUCGUCACUGUACAUCAAAAGCUACUAAUUAUGAUUUAAUACAGUUAUUCAGUGUACCCACAGUGUUGGUUCACUCCUCUGACGUAGUGUGUGAGCUGCCUGACAAUUCAUUUCCAUCCAAACAUAAAGGUGAGCUCGAGAUUUAGCCUUUGUAGCCAGAAUUUGACUAAAACUUUCAGUUCAGUUUGAAGUAUCUGCAUCCAGUGUUGCUUUGUGGAACUGGGACUGUGGAGGUUAGAGUGAAUGAGUAUUGCGUUUUUAUAGAGAACCUUAAAAAUAUUCCGUCUACAAGUAUAUAUACAUCUUGUCAAAAUAGUACCUAAACUGCUUUGUAUGUGCUGUCUCUCAAACUUAGCUUGGCUGUCUAUCAGUGAACAUCUUUGGUAAUUUACUCAUACCCCAUACUUUGUAGUAUUGUAAGUAAAACUUAUUCUAUUCCCUUGGCCAGAGUAAUCAGACAGCAGCUCACUAAGGUUGCAAGCAACAAUUAUUUCCAUUGUUGAUUAUUUUCUGCAGAUUUUCUUUGACAAUCAUCAGUGAGUCCACUGGUCCACAAGAAAUGGUGGAAAAAUAACACAUUUUUAGAAUCAGAUUUUUCCAGUCAGCGAUCCACAAUGCCUGUUUACAGUCACAUAUGAAAGAAGCACAGUGAUGAAACCAGUAACCAGUAUAGAUUUUUAUAUGAAAAGGGACUUGAACUAUCAAUUAUCGUUACAGUUUCGGAUUCAUUUCAAAACCACCAGCAUCUGCUUCAUUCUCUCAGCUCUGCUCCCUUAUGAUGAGUGAAUUCAUGACUGCUUGUACACAUAAAGCUCUUUCCGCAUUCUCGCUUAUAAUGAAAUAAUCUCUGUCAUCUGUACCUUGUGGACUGGUAACGGAUAGAACUCUUCAUACAAAACAUUUUAAAGCCACGCGAUUAACACUGCACUACUAGUACCAGCAUCAACCAAGGAAUGCCUAAUCAACUAACGUAGAAUGAACGUUAAUCCCUUAACCCUCAGGAAGUGUGUCUGUGGAAUGAAUGUCAAUGAGUCCAAUCAGACACCUCCAGUGUAGACAGGACACAUUUCGUAGGCAUUUAGUCAGAUUGUACAAUACAAGCUGAAACACAAACUAAUAAAUCAUGCCAGCAGUUGCUGAUGUUCAUGCAGUAAUCUCCUGUUUGUCUUCAGUCAGUUUAAUGUAUAUGUUUAAUGUAAUUCAGUUCUCUGGGCUGUUGUGUGUUUGCUGGCUUCUGUAAGUUCUGUGGUCUGUCUGGGGACAUUGUGCCACAUUUUACUGGAGGCUGGAAAUGGGAGUAUGACAAUAAAUGUUUUUUUUUUUUUUUAAUGAAGCAUUCUGUUGUGGGUUAAUCUGCCUCCUCAGUCUCAUAUACUGGAGCAGGGGUGUCAAACAUGU